GCCCUUAUAGCUCAGUGGUACGAGCGCAUCACUCGUAGCCUGAGGCAGCGAUGUCACUGGUGUUGAGUUCAUGAUGAGGUCCGCGGUUCAAUCCCGCGUGGGGGCA